AGAAAAGUAAGCUAAGCAUAAGCUAAUGGGUUCAUACCCCAUAUAUAGAGUUUAACACUCUCUUCUCUA
rnacentral:tRNA from 1 species